CUUUGAUCAACAAAUGGUACAAAAAGUCAAAUUCUAACAUUGGUGACUUCAUUAGUCUCAAUGUUGGAGAAAUUAUAAGUGGAAGAGUGAAGCGAAUUGAUUCUUUUGGUUUGUCUAUUGAAAUUGAUCAAUCUAAAUUAGUUGAUGAAGAGAGACAAAGAAUCUCUUUAGGAAUGAAGGGAUCAUAUUUCGAUAAUCAAACACAAGAAAUUCAUAAUUCUGAUUCAAAUUUAGAUUCGGAAUCAGACAAUCUUAUUCUAACCGCGACCCCGGAAUCACUGAUUCCAUUCUCAAACGGGAAUCAUCCAGCAUUAGCUGAAAUGGAAUCCAGGGCUUCUGUUCUUCCUCUUGAAGCCACUUUAGAUGAAGAAGCAGAUGAGUCACCCAUGGAGGAAGAACAAGCUCAAAUUCCAGAGCCUCUUGAUGACAAAAAAACCUAAAAAGAAUGAAAACAAAAGUAAACGAACAAAAAAGAAAGAAACAGAUGAAAGGUAUUCACAUAGGGAAAGCGAAAUUCGGGUUGCAGAGGAGAGACUAUUGCAGAAAGAUAUUCCAAGAACAACUGAUGAUUAUGAGAAGCUGAUAAGAAGCUCCCCAAAUAGUAGCUUUAUCUGGAUAAAAAACAUGACAUUUUUUCUCUCCUUAAAUGAAGUUGAAAAGGCUCGAUCAAUGGCUGAAAGGGCUUUGAGGACAAUUAAUAUAAGAGAAGAGUCAGAGAAGAUGCAUGUUUGGGUUGCAUACUUUAACUUAGAAAACGAAUACGGGUUCCCACCAGAGGAUGCAGUGGUAAAAAUAUUUCAAACGACAUUGAAAUUUUUAUUUAAGAACUAUAUGCUUAGAGCUUCUAGUUAAGAAGAUGAAGUUUUUAUUUAAGAAGUAUCUUGAAUUUGAGAAGUCACAUGGGGAUGAGGAUAGAGCUAAAUAUGUUAAGGCGGAGGCUCUUAAGUUUAUUAAGAAGUUCUGAUACAGAUGAGGAAAUACUAGCACAACAUGUUCCCAAACCAAGAGUAAUGCGGGUAUACUCUAGAAGGGCAAAACAGUCAUUUGAGAAAAGUGGCUACAAGGUUGUUAGAGGAGAGAGAAAUGAGAAUAAAAAGAAAGGAGUGUUGUGAGGUCAGGUAUGUGUGAGGUGUAAGAAAUGUACUGUGGCUCUCGGUAUCAUUCGUGAUAGAGAGAAGGGGACAUUCAUGACUUUUGUUGCUUAGAAAUACAAUCAUUCAGUUAUCUUCUUUAUUUUAUCAAGCAUUCAUUAAUUUCCAUUGAUCUAUUAUUUCUUUACAGUACAAAUCUUCUCUCUCUGUUUUACUACCUAUCAAGUUAUCUUACUUUUUUUUUGUUAAGCAUGUCAUAUGUACAAAAAGGGAAAAUACAUCAGUAGUUUGUUUUUGAAUAUAAUAACUUACUAUCUCAUUUGAUUCAGGGGUAUAUUUAUAAUAUCAUAAAUACUUUAUAUGAUAUAUUUUUUAUGGUGAUUUAUCAGAAACAUAUAUUUUUUGUGACAAAUACAGAGCAUUUUACUAAAAUUCCAACAAAUAGCACUAGCCGAAAAAGUGGAAGAUAGGAGAAGGAGGCUUAUAUGGGUUAGUCUGGACUUUACUCUAACCCAACUCAACAGGUAACAAAGAAAAGGAUAUUUACAUCUUUUCACAACACAAGCAUUUUCCUUGGGAAGGGUCUUGUCAACUUGAAUUUCAUGCAAGAGAAAAUGGAAGCCGAUUUCCGUUAUGGUCUUGUAUGUGUUCGAGAAAAUGUCGAAUCAAUUGCAUUUUAUGGUGCAACUGUUGAUAUUUGCUAAUGGAUGGUGACAGGAAUAUUUCAAGGGCGUCCCCACCUGGAAAAGUAACAACCCUAACCAAGGAACCAUUGCUUGCUAUAAAUAAGAGAUCCCAUACUUAAUGUUAGUGAUUUAUCAGUUGAAGCAAACAUGCAAACAUGUGCUUGUAUGUUUUUGAAUUCAUCUAAUCUGGAUAGGAUUGAGGUCGGAUACAACAAAUAAGCGAUCAACUAGAAACAACCCCUGGUCUUGACAUGUUAAAAAUGCAAAACACUUCCAUUUAGCAGAUAAUCAGUUAUCUGGUGACAUUCGAUCUGAACUGUUCAUAUCAUAUAUGACUCUAAUACAUGUGAUAUUCAACAACAAUCAAUUAUCUGGAAAUAAAUGAUGGUGAAAGUCAUCUACUAAAGCAAGGUUGGUGUAAGAGUUGAUUACUAGAACAUUGUUCCAAGACCUUCAUUGAGUUAUGACGAUGUCCCUUAAUAGCAAUGUAGUAUUAGGUUAUAUAGUUAGCGAUGAUUAUUUGUAUUUGACAUUUUAGUGCAAUGAAUUAUCUUUCUUAUUUAUUGUAUUUUGUAUGACAUUAACUUUUGUG